AAAACUUUAAGUUAAUCCCCCCCCCAAACUAAUAAUUUUCAAAAUUAUAAAUAAAUACAAAAUUUAAGUUUUA
rnacentral:tRNA from 1 species